GAUACCAGGGUCCAAAAGUCAUACUUUUUAUGCUCGCAUAAAAAAGUAUGACCUUGGGACCCGCAAAACAUGAGAAAGUAGCCCGAUCAGGGCGGAUUUCGAAUGUUUUCUGGAUUGUGGAGCACGAAGUGCGUAGCAAUCCGUGGUAUC
rnacentral:sRNA from 1 species